UACAGAGGUCCCGAGCGUUGUUCGGAUUCACUGGGCGUAAAGGGUGCGUAGGUGGCGAGGUAAGUCGGAUGUGAAAGCUCGGAGCUCAACUCCGAAAUGGCAUUGGAAACUACCUUGCUCGAGGGUUGGAGGGGGGACGUGGAAUACUUGGUGUAGCAGUGAAAUGCGUAGAUAUCAAGUGGAACACCAGUGGCGAAGGCGAGUCCCUGGACAACUCCUGACACUGAGGCACGAAAGCUAGGGGGAGCAAACAGG
rnacentral:rRNA from 1 species